CUGCAGCCAUUAAGUCGGUCAUGCUCUUUUCCCCAUGGGGGCCUGGUGUGCAAUGACUGCACACAGUUGCAUUCUUAUUUAUUUUUUAAGUAUUUACUUAUUUUUGCAUGUGGGUGUCCAGGUAUUC